GAUCAACGCUGGCGGCGUGCAUGAGACAUGCAAGUCGAACGAAGGAUCGGGCUUGCUCGAUCCUUAGUGGCGGACGGCUGAGUAACGCGUAGGUGACCUACCCCGAAGUGGGGAAUAACUGCCCGAAAGGGUGGCUAAUACCGCAUGUGGUCGCACGUUCAUUCGUGCGAGUAAAGCCGCAAGGCGCUUCGGGAGGGGCCUGCGUCCGAUUAGCUCGUUGGUGGGGUAAUGGCUUACCAAGGCGACGAUCGGUAGGUGGUCUGAGAGGACGAUCACCCAGACUGGGACUGAGGCACGGCCCCGAAUCCUACGGGAGGCAGCAGUCGGGAAUUUUGCUCCAUGGGGGAAACCCUGAAGCAGCAACGCCGCGUGAGGGAUGAAGGCCUUCGGGUUGUAAACCUCUUUUGUCAGGGACGAUGAUGACGGUACCUGGCGAAUAAGCCACGGCUAACUACGUG
rnacentral:rRNA from 1 species